rnacentral:lncRNA from 1 species
ACGGCGUGUUGGUCCCAGCGGUUCAGCUGAGGUAGGGACGUGCUGUAGGCCGGAAUGUUACCGGCUGUUGGAUCUGUGGAUGAGGAAGAGGAUCCUGCGGAGGAGGAUUGUCCUGAAUUGGUUCCCAUUGAGACGACGCAAAGCGAGGAGGAGGAAAAGUCUGGCCUCGGCGCCAAGAUCCCAGUCACAAUUAUCACCGGGUAUUUAGUUAUUCAGAGGCUGCUCUACUGAGAAGAUGAACAAAUUUCUUGUCCAAAACAAUGUAUUUCAAACGUGCCCCUCGGGCCUUUCCCGUGUUGCUCACUGGUGCUGGGAAGACAACACUUCUGAACUAUAUUUUGACAGAGCAACAUAGUAAAAGAGUAGCGGUCAUUUUAAAUGAAUCUGGGGAAGGAAGUGCGCUGGAGAAAUCCUUAGCUGUCAGCCAAGGUGGAGAGCUCUAUGAAGAGUGGCUGGAACUUAGAAACGGUUGCCUCUGCUGUUCAGUGAAGUGAGGAAUGUGUUUACUGUGUACAUGGUUUACUAGAAAUGUUUAUUGAUUAUAUUUCCAGCUUUAAUUUUCUUGAGUAAUUUAACUGAAUUUACACAGUUUGCUUCAUUGUAUUUUCAAACAAAUAGAAAAUAAACUUAUUAGGAAGCAUUUUCUUAAAGUGUUUCUUGCUGUCUUUUCUAUCUGCUCUAAUGUUUUGGUCCUUUUAUUGAGUUUUUAUUGCUUUUGAUGUCAGGGCUUAUUUAAUCUCUAGUGCAUGAAAGUCUCAUAUGUAAAAAAUGAUUAUUCUGAAUUUAAUCUGUCAUUGGUCAUACUUCUAAGUGUUCAACCUUAUAAAA